rnacentral:rRNA from 1 species
AGUGAACGCUGGCGGUAGGCCUAACACAUGCAAGUCGAACGGCAGCACAGUAAGAGCUUGCUCUUACGGGUGGCGAGUGGCGGACGGGUGAGGAAUACAUCGGAAUCUACUUUUUCGUGGGGGAUAACGUAGGGAAACUUACGCUAAUACCGCAUACGACCUACGGGUGAAAGCAGGGGAUCUUCGGACCUUGCGCGAUUGAAUGAGCCGAUGUCGGAUUAGCUAGUUGGCGGGGUAAAGGCCCACCAAGGCGACGAUCCGUAGCUGGCCUGAGAGGAUGAUCAGCCACACUGGAACUGAGACACGGUCCAGACUCCUACGGGAGGCAGCAGUGGGGAAUAUUGGACAAUGGGCGCAAGCCUGAUCCAGCCAUACCGCGUGGGUGAAGAAGGCCUUCGGGUUGUAAAGCCCUUUUGUUGGGAAAGAAAAGCAGCAGGUUAAUACCCCGCUGUUCUGACGGUACCCAAAGAAUAAGCACCGGCUAACUUCGU